UGUUGGGUCACGGCGGGCAGGACAAGCUUCUCUGUUCUGUGGGAAGAGAAGCAGAAAGAGGCUUCUUCUGUGGCGCAGGGCGUUGGCGUGGCUGCGCCAUCUGUCGACGCUGCCAGGAGGCGUCCUCGUAGCGCGUGGAAGGCCCUCUUACUCCACCAACACUCAGAGGCGUGGGGAACCUCGAGUGGUAAUCCUGGAUCCCUCCGCACACCGUGCAACCAACCACCGGAUGCGUGCGGCGCUUGGAGUCGCCUGCGGAGAGAGGAGGCGCGUUAGGGGCGGGGAUUGGGGCUGGAAUCGCAGGCUAGCGGGUCCUCACAAACCACUGCAUUCUGGCGGGUGCCUGUAUCAGAAAUACAUAUCCAGGUCUUCGAUAGAGGAAUAAGGUGUGGGAUUUGUUUUAAAAUCCUUCAGCACGACCAAAACAAAAAGUGGGAGGAAAAGAUGAAAGCAAGAAUGGCAAAAUAUUUGUAACUGUAAUGGAGUUUAAUAACGCUAUUCUUUUGUGCUGCUUGAAAUUUUCCAUAAUAAACAUUUUCCUAAUAGGGAGCUUUAGAGAAAAAGAAAAAAGCGUCUCGAACCUGUCACAUUUCUUUCACUUGUGUCUUCAUAAUCUAAUAACUGUUUACUGAUAGCUGCUCUGUGGCUGGAACUAUUCCAAGUGCCUUCGUAUUUUAUCAUUUCUUUUAUAAGGUAAUGAAUGACAGUCUAGUAAUAUGAAAUAUAUUAUGACACAACUGAUAUUUUAA